rnacentral:tRNA from 1 species
UGUCCCAUGGCUUAGUUGGUUACGGCGUCCGACUGUUAUUCUGAACAGUAGCAUCGGAAGAUCGAGAGUUCGAGUCUCUCUGGGACAG